rnacentral:lncRNA from 1 species
AGCGAAGAGCAGUCAGCGAGGUCCUGCAGCCACAAGGCGCACGAAAUAAACGUGGAGUGACACCCGCCAGCGCUAGACUCCGGCCUUUGCGCUCCUGCAGGAUUUAGUAAGGAUGUAGAAUACCGGCAGGGAUGCCCUGGAACAGCCCCCUUAUUACAGAAGCCCCUUCCCUCAAACCUGAACCUUAUCCUGGGUCCUGACUUAUGGAUUUCCACGUGGUCUCUUUUGGCCUGACGCCAAGAGCCCGCCCCGCUCCCCAAGCCCCGCACUCUUCUCGGCAGUGGCGCGUGAGCACAGCCUUUAAAAGACCGUCCGUUAAGAAAAAGUGACACUACGAACCCUCCUCCACUUUCUGAAAACGCCACAGUGGAAAGUACCGAAUCCCCGAAAACCCUGUUCCUGUCUUUCCUAGUGGCCUCAGCGGCCCAUCGCCACGUUUGGCUGGUCUCUUCGCAGUCGUAGUUGCCAUUCCCAAGCCAACACCUCUCCAAGGAAUGGGCAUUUUCCUGAGUCCGAGGCAUCUCCUAGGGAGGGGCAUCCUUAGGCGAGGGACCUUUCUCAGUACCACUCAUAUUCAUCCAAUUUGAACAGUCGUCUGAAAUUGGAAUCUUUGUGUACCCACCCCCCUAUGUUGGGCACCUUGUUUUCCCCUUAUACCUAGUAGUCGUAGUGAAAGAGCCUCUAGUAAGAAACAAGAUACCCUAACAGCGGUGGAAGGUAAUCCAAUGGUAGAGCUGGAAUAGAGUGAGAGACUCUCUGACCCAGGAGUAGAUGCAGAAACUGAAUUGAUGUGAGGUCAGCCAGCUAGAGUUGGUGUGGUAUGGCUCAUGGUGAGGAGCUCUGGCUUUAGGGUCAGAGUGCCUGAGGACCAGGUCCAUGAGCCCUAGGUCUUUAGGAAAAAAAGUUACACUGGCCUCAAUAGAGUUGCUGUGAAGAUGAGUGAGAUUAUUUAUGUAAAGUGACUGGUGCUUAGUAUGGGUAAAUUAGUGAUUUUUUAAAAGCCUUUUCAGCUGUAUUUCCAGCUUCCCACAACUUGUUCCUAGCCCUGUCUCCUGUUUCCUCUGGUUUCUGAGUAGCACGACCACUAGCCAGUCCAUCUCCAUCUCCAUCCCCAUCCUCACCCACUUUCCAGCCUUUAAAAUGAGUAGGGAAGCUCUUAGCUGAGUUUUGGGGCGAUCUCCACACAUGCAGAUCGUCACAAAAUUUCCAGGAUAGGCCCAUUUUCCAAAUAUUCGUCAAUGAGUUCUAAGUUGGAGUAGACAAAAAUAUGGGCAUUGCACAUUAUCUGUUGUAACAGGAACUGGAAUAGCAUGAUUAUAUGACUCCUAGUGUGGAUGAUUCUGGAACCAGUAACUCAUAGCAGUCUUGGCUGAUUAAUGGAGCAGAUAUUGGUGAAGACAACUCCGCGCAAAGUCACUCUUUUGCCUGGGGACCAGACCCCAACCCCUUACAACCAAGCAGAGGGCCCUAAUAAUUUGUUAUUUGAAACAGGUGAUAUGAUCUUCCUCCUCCCUUUUCACCAUCACAGAGCAGCUUUUACACAAAUAGCUUGGGGAUCACCACGUCCUUCUUCCACAGCCAAGGAGGAGAAAGUUCCUAGAAAGUUUAGCAUAGCAAUAUGUCAGAAGAGGCAUUCAAGGGGCCCAGAGUAAGGCACUCCUGGCUCCGAGAACACCUGGAAGACACACUUUGAGAGAAGUGCAAAGAAGUUUCUCUAAAUUUGAGUUUGCUUUUUAUUUGUAUUUGUCAUACAUUUUGAUAUACCCUAGGUGCAGGGGAACAUGACAGAUUUUCCCCCAAAAAAUUAUCACUUUUUUCAACCAUACAGAAAAUUUGAAAAAACAGUACGAUGAACAACCAUAUGUUCAACCCCACACAAAUUGUUAUUUUCCCAUAUUUGCUCUCGUUUCUUUGCUCCAAGUUUUUCUGCAUAGCCCCUGUCCUCCCAUCACUGUGCAGGUUACCACUAGCCUUUAUUUCUUGAGGGCUUCCUAUGUGCUGGGGGACCAGUAUGGACCAUCUCAUUAGAGCUAUACUUCCACCCUACUAAAUAGGCCCUAUUGAUAUUCCCAUUUUAUUUUUUUAUUUUGAGACGGAGUCUCACUCUGUCGCCCAGGCUGGAGUGCAGUGUUGCAAUUUCAGCUCACUGCAAGCUCCGCCUCCCGGGUUCACGCCAUUCUCCUGCCUCAGCCUCCCGAGUAGCUGGGACUACAGGCACCUGCCACUAUGCCCAGCUAAUUUUUUGUAUUUUUAGUAGAGAUGGGGUUUCACCGUGUUAGCCAGGAUGGUCUCGAUCUCUUGACCUCGUGAUCCGCCCGCCUUGGCCUCCCAAAGUGCUGGGAUUACAGGCGUGAGCCACCGCGCCCGGCCGAUAUUCCCAUUUUAUAGAUGAAACGUAGGCAUAGAUAUGUGACUUGCUUAAGGUCACCUGGCAAAUUGGAUACAGAACCCACUUACUGAAUCACUAUACUACCUUAUAACACGUAAACUUAAUCUCAUUUAAGCUUUUCAAUCUCAUUUAGACUGACAACAACCUUGAUAUCAAUUGUAGAGCUCAGAGAGGAUAUGAAAUUUGCUAGAGGUGACAGAGCUGAGAGAUUCAGUGCCUGCAUCAGAUUCGUAACAGUGAGACUGAAGACAAUAUGACAGGCGGAGUCAAAACUCCGGCAAGCCUCUGUCUCAUUUCUCAAUUUGGUUUUCUCAUCUGUAAAACGAUUCCUGUAACGUGACUGAGGUACAGACUGCGCUGGCUCUCCAGAUGUGUUCUCUAUAGUCCCUACUGAAUGGGGAGCACUGAGUAAAUAACUGCCACCUAUCUCAGGAAGAGGGUGUUUUGAGAAUUACCAGAAACCUGUAAGUGGGGGACAUUUAGCAGUGUGGCUAAGAGUGGGACUCUAGACUCAGAUCCCGGCUACUCCACUGUUGUUUAAUGGUUCUAUUCGAGGGUCACAGGACCCAAGCCAUCAGGUAAGCCUGACUCCACUAAUCUCUGGAAUUCAGUAUCCAGGACCUCACCUGACCUGGUGUUUCCACAGAGAUCCCAAUUACAGAGUGGACCCAGAGGGAAGGGAAAAUCCCGCAAACGUUGCCAACCACCAUUCCUGAGCUGAAUUCACCUUCCCUCCCCGCAGACAGACACUUGCAGGAUUUAGACAAACCACAACUGUUUAUUGGUGAAAGACUCAGCUUCCUCAUGUGCUCGCUGCAAAAUAAAUAAAAUA